rnacentral:rRNA from 1 species
CCAUGAAUUUUAGUAAGUUAAUAACUCCUAUUAAUUUAUUUAUAUGGUGGCACAAAAUCGGAAGCCCCGACUGUUUACUAAAAACACAACUAUCUGCAAUUAUGAAAAUAAUAGUAUAGGUAGUGAGAUUUGCCCAAUGCCAUAUUAAUAAGUAAUAAUAAUGGGUAACUGUUUCUUUACAAAAAAUUGGUUAAUAGCGGUCUUAACUAUGAGGAUCCUAAGGUAGCAAAAUAAAUUGGCCAUUAAAUGUGGUCCAGUAUCAAUAAUUUAACGAUGGCUUCACUGUCUCUACAACUUGCUCAGUGAAAUUGAAUUACCCGUGCAGAUGCGGGUUACCUCAAAGAGGACGGGAAGACCCUAU